rnacentral:rRNA from 1 species
AUGGUGAUGGCCAGCGCCGGCGUCAACAACAUGCCCUCCCACCAGAUGGGGGAGGGGCACAUCGACUCCGAGGAAUGCCGCCUGCGCAGGCGCAGGCGCAGCCGCCUCAACGCCCACCACGCCUCCUCCGCCCCGGCCCCCGGCCCCGCCGAGGAAGGGGAAGUAGUGCAGUCCCCGCCGCCCUCCUCCGACUCCUCCUCCGAGUCCGCGCCGUCCUCGCAGAGCGCUGCCGAGGAGGGCUCUGACGCGGUUGUCGCGGCGGCGCCCCAGCAGCUGCCCUCCUCCAAGGAGAAGGAGAAGAGAUGGCCCGUGUCGUUCGGGUCGGUGGCGCUGGCGGGGCGGCUGCGGGAGAUGGAGGACACGGUGUCGCUGCACCCUAGCUUCUGCGCCUGGGCCGACGGCUCGCCCAUGCACCUCUUCGCCGUCUUCGACGGCCACGGCGGCCCCCACGCCGCGGCGCUGUGCAGGGAGCAGAUGCACGUCAUCCUCGCGGAGGAGAUGGCCGGCGCCGCGGCAGCCUUCAACAACCGGCAGCAGUCGGAGGAGCAACCGGCGGAGGCGUCGGCGUCGUCGGAGCAAGUGGCGUGGCGUGGCGCUCUCUCCAGGAGCUUCGCCCGGGCGGACGCGCUGGCGGUGUCGGCGUGCGCGUGCGGGCGCGGGAGCACUGCGAGUGUGCCCAAGUCGUGCUCCUGCCUGCUGUCGUCGGCGCAGAAAGGCGCCAUCGUGGGGUCGACGGCCGUGGUGGCGCUGCUGGUCCGCGACCGCCUCAUCGUGGCCAACUGCGGCGACUCCCGCGCCGUGCUCUCACGAGGUGGCGUCGCCGUGCCGCUCUCCCAGGACCACAAGCCGGACCGGCCGGACGAGAUGGCGCGGAUCAAGGCGGCCGGCGGCAAGGUUAUGUACAUGAACGGGGCGCGCGUCCGCGGCAUCCUCGCCAUGUCCCGAGCGCUAGGGCACAGGCUCCUGAAGCCAGAAGUGAUAUGCGAGCCAGAGAUCAGCAUAACCGAAAGGUGCGAGGACGACGACUGCCUAAUCCUCGCCAGCGACGGGCUGUGGGACGUGAUCUCCAACAAGGUGGCCUGCGACGUGGCACGACAAUGCCUGGAAGAUGGGAGCCCGACCAGAGCUCCUGCUGCAGCAGGGAGCAGCGAAGCCACUCCCAGCAGCAGCGGCAGCGCACCGGCAGUUUCCCAGGAGGAAGAGCCCCGGUGCUUCCGCGCAGCGGCCCUCCUCGCGAGGCUGGCCCUAGGGAGGGAGAGCUCCGAUAACAUUAGCGUGGUGGUGGUUGAUCUGAAGGCGAGGGGUUAG